rnacentral:sRNA from 1 species
UGCCAAAGCUGAUGAUGGGGUGAAAAA